AUUGAACGCUGGCGGCAGGCCUAACACAUGCAAGUCGAACGAGUGGCGGACGGGUUAGUACUGUCUGGGAAACUGCCUGAUGGAGGGGGAUAACUCCUGGAAACGGUAGCUAAUACCGCAUAACAUCAGAUGUGCCCAGAUGGGAUUCGCUUGUUGGUGGGGUAACGGUGCACCAAGGCGACGAUCCCUAGCUGGUCUGAGAGGAUGACCAGCCACACUGGAACUGAGACACGGGCCAGACUCCUACGGGAGGCAGCAGUGGGGAAUAGUGCACAAUGGGCGCAAGCCUGAUGCAGCCAUGCCGCGUGUAUGAAGAAGGCCUUCGGGUUGUAAAGUAAUUUCAGCGGGGAGGCGUUACCCGCAGAAGAAGCACCGGCUAACUCCGUGCCAGCCGCCGCGGUAAUUC
rnacentral:rRNA from 1 species